AUUCCAGCUCCAAUAGCGUAUAUUAAAGUUGUUGCGGUUAAAAGCUCGUAGUUGGAUUUCUGCAUAGGACAGCCGGUCCGAUCUCUGAUUGUGUAUUUGGCCUGGCCUGUGCAUUCUUGCGGAAGGCGUAUCUGCUCUUGAUUGAGUGGUGCGUUGUCCGCAACUUUUACUUUGAGGAAAUUAGAGUGUUUCAAGCAGGCUUCUGCCUUGAAUAUGUUAGCAUGGGAAUAAUAAGAUAGGGCUUCAACUCUAUUUUGUUGGUUUCUAGAGCUGGAGUAAUGAUUAAUAGGGAUAGUUGGGGCAUUCGUAUUUAACUGUCAGAGGUGAAAUUUCUUUGGAUUUGUUAAAGACGAACUACUGCGAAAGCAUUUUGCCAAGGAUGUUUUCAUUGAUCAAGAACGAAAGUUAGGGGAUCGAAGACGAUCAGAUACCGUCCUAGUCUUAACCAUAAACUAUGCCGACUAGAGAUUGGAGGUC
rnacentral:rRNA from 1 species